AGUGAACGCUGGCGGUAGGCCUAACACAUUCAAGUCGAACGGCAGCACAGUAAGAGCUUGCUCUUACGGGUGGCGAGUGGCGGACGGGUGAGAAAUACAUCGGAAUCUACUUUUUCGUGGGGGAUAACGUAGGGAAACUUACGCUAAUACCGCAUACGACCUACGGGUGAAAGCAGGGGAUCUUCGGACCUUGCGCGAUUGAAUGAGCCGAUGUCGGAUUAGCUAGUUGGCGGGGUAAAGGCCCACCAAGGCGACGAUCCGUAGCUGGUCUGAGAGGAUGAUCAGCCACACUGGAACUGAGACACGGUCCAGACUCCUACGGGAGGCAGCAGUGGGGAAUAUUGGACAAUGGGCGCAAGCCUGAUCCAGCCAUACCGCGUGGGUGAAGAAGGCCUUCGGGUUGUAAAGCCCUUUUGUUGGGAAAGAAAAGCAGCAGGUUAAUACCCCGCUGUUCUGACGGUACCCAAAGAAUAAGCACCGGCUAACUUCGUG
rnacentral:rRNA from 1 species